GAAAAUCUCAACUGUUUUAGAAGAGAAGCAUUUAUUAGAUAAAAAACCAAUAUAUGUUUUUAAAGCAUAAAAAUUGGUGAUAUACAAUAACUAAGCAAAUCGCACAGUGCAAACUGGCGAUAAAUCAUUCAAGUUUCUGACCUAUCAGCUUUCGACGGUAAGGUAUUGGCUUACCGUGGCAGUGACGGUUAACGGGGAAUUAGGGUUCAAUUCCGGAGAGGGAGCCUGAGAAACGGCUACCACAUCUAAGGAAGGCAGCAGGCGCGCAAAUUACCCAAUUCUAACAGCAUAAGAGAGGUAGUGACAAGAAAUAACAGUACAAGGCAGUUAAAAUGCUUUGUAAUUGGAAUGAUAGAAAUUUAAAUACUUUUUAAAGUAUCAAUUGGAGGGCAAGUCUGGUGCCAGCAGCCGCGGUAAUUCCAGCUCCAAUAGCGUAUAUUAAAAUUGUUGCAGUUAAAAAGCUCGUAGUUGAAUUUUUGCUAGAAAUAACCGGUCUGCUUUUAUUUAUAAGAGUGGUAUCUUGGUGUGCUUUAGCAAUAAUAUCCUUUGGAAUGUUUUUUACUUUAUUGUAAAAAGCAAUUUUGAGGAUUUUUACUUGAGAAAAUAGAGKUCAUGCAUGCCUGACGACC
rnacentral:rRNA from 1 species